rnacentral:rRNA from 2 species
UCUACGGGAGGCAGCAGUAGGGAAUCUUCCACAAUGGACGCAAGUCUGAUGGAGCAACGCCGCGUGAGUGAAGAAGGGUUUCGGCUCGUAAAGCUCUGUUGUUAAAGAAGAACGUGGGUAAGAGUAACUGUUUACCCAGUGACGGUAUUUAACCAGAAAGCCACGGCUAACUACGUGCCAGCAGCCGCGGUAAUA